rnacentral:tRNA from 1 species
GCCGGGGUAGCUCAGUCGGUCAGAGCGACGGACUCAUAACCCGUAGGUCGGCGGUUCAAGUCCGCCCCCCGGCACCA